GAGCGUACUGGUGAAUCUUGCCUUCUGAAUUACUUGGGUACACAAAAUUUGGCUGGACAUAUCAUGAGAAGAGGGAUCCUUCUGAGAUUUUUGGCACUGCUUGCUGUCGUGAGUUAUUUUGGCACUAGUUUGUGGUUCCAGGCAGAACCUGUCCAGAGACAUCCAGGACUCAUCCCCUGUUGAAUCUCCAUGGGCAGGAUACAUCACUCCCUGAAUAAACAACAUAAGGGACCAAUGUUAAAAGGGAAGGCUUUGUGUAGAGAACUGAUUGUGUCCUGUAUGUACCAAAUCAGACGUGUUCUCUUCAGGACCCAGGGACUUCCCAAUGGAAUGGGAAAAGACAGCGUUUCAGUGCCAGUAGUGAGGAAGGCCUGGCAGCAUUGCAGAACUGUCCAGCAGGCUUCUAGAGAGCAGUAAGCUCAGGUGUCUCCAGGCAUGCACACGGCAGCCCUAGUUAUCUGGCAGCAAAGACGUCAUGUGCAUUUCCUAGUAAAAACCACUCCUGAAUUCAGUGUGUCAAUGCAAAAAAUUAUGCUUGCUUGUAUAAGGGCUUUAUUAAAUAGGUCUGUGAAAAAUA